rnacentral:rRNA from 1 species
AUCUGCUCAAUGAAUUACUUAUUUAAAUAGCUGCAGUAUCCUAACUGUACAAAGGUAGCAUAAUCAUUUGUCUUUUUAUUAAAGUCUGGAAUGAAAGAUUGAAUGAAAUAAAAUCUGUCUCAAAUUAAUUAAAAUUUAAAAUUUAUUUUAAGUAAAAAUUCUUAAAUUUAAUAAAAAGACGAGAAGACCCUAUAGAAUUUUAUAAUAUAAUAUUUAUGAAUUUAAUUAAAUAAAUAAUUAAUAGUAUUAAAUUAUUUUAUUGGGGUGAUAUAAAAAUUUAAAAAAUUUUUUAUUUAAUUUUUACAUUAUAAAUGAGUUACUUUAUCCAAUAUAAUUGAAUGAAUAUUAAAUUACCUUAGGGAUAACAGCGUUAAAUUUUUGGAGAGUUCAUAUUGAUAAAAGUUUUUGCGACCUCGAUGUUGAAUUAAAAUAAAUUAUUAUUGAAGAUAAUAAUAUA